AACUUGUUCCUACGUGUUCGUACAGAUUCAGUUUGAUUUCUGCGCUACAUUUUCACCGAUUUCAUCCGAAUUAUGGCUGAUUUGGUAUCCAAUGAAGUUGGGCAUUUGGAUGAAGAAUCCAAGAAACGUUACAGAGAGAAGUUGAACCUUGUUGGCACAACGGAUCCGUACCUUUUACAGAGAAGCAUGCUAAAAUCACCUGAGCAUUUUGCAACAGCCGACCUGCCUGAUCUCUCAUAUCCAGAUAUUUAUAAUUACCUCGUCGAUUCACCAUCUCCGUACACUGGAAAGGACCUUAAGGCAUACAAGAGUCUGGAUGCCUACAAGUAUUUCACAGCAGGUUUUAUGCAUGAUGGGCUGAUAUGGCAGAUUCCAAACAAGAAUCGAUUUCUUCUUAUGACCAAGGUAAAACACUCUCAACGGAUGAAUGAUCCUCCCCUCAGACCUUGGGUAGCAAUAGCGAAGGAUGGUCAGAUCCUGUGCUGCCACUGUACCUGCAUGGCUGGAUUGGGUGAAACAUGUUCACAUUCAGCAGCAUCCCUGUUCGCCCUGGAGACAUUAAUACGUAUGAAGACGGCCACUUCAUGCACAUCACUACCUUCCCAGAAACGAAAGUCAGAAGUUUCAACUCCUGAGGAAAGUGCUGCGGGAAAACUGCUGAAUGUUUCUCCACCAACUGGAGAGCAGAAAGCUGCCUUUUACAAGGCUUUGUCUGAAUGCGGUGGAAGCCCAGCAAUUUUGAGCAUUGUCCCUGACUAUGCUGACAACUUUGUGCCAAGGGCAGUGAAGCGAAAGCUUCCUGUACCUCUCUCACAGCUGCACGAUUCUGGCAAUAUGAAACUCAGCCCAGAUGAACUUGCACUAAAAUGCCGGUCAGAGCUGGAAAAGUUACAUUCCAUUACCAGAGAGCAUGUUUAUAUCUGCGGCAGACCAGUCAAAAACCUUACUUUGUCAUCAUUACCCUUGAAAGAUUCUUCAUUCCAUCUACAGCGUUUCAAACUGUCCUUCAGUUCAUCAAGUUCUGCACGCAGAUUUUUACACUCUGCAGUGAGGGAAUCCAUUGCUUCCCCAGUGAUAUCCGUCUGUGUGGCAGUAGUCACCAUGCCUUCUUUUCGAAUCUCAGCGUGCACCACAUCUUCACCAGCGGGUAGUUGAUCAUUUUCACAAGGGACAGACUGGGAAAUAUUGACAAGUGCUGCUGCCAAUGCCCUCUCGCGGUCUCUCUUGCGCUGCUUGAGAUUUUGUCUUCUCUCAAAGAUCUUCAAUGAACAUUUGAGUUUUCGUUUGUGAGGUGACUGGGUAUGCUCAAAUAUACUUGGCACAUAGUCUGGGGAUAGUGGAUCUGCGCUUUUUGCACCUGAAACAAUUAAACAAUCACAUUAUUCAUAAUGACUACCAUAAAUAAUUAAGCACGUUGUUGAAGGGGAUAUACCCAGUUCAAUUUGUUUCGUAAUGGCAUUUCAUAACUUGACAUAUUAAAAAACUGAAUAGAGUGAAAUCAUUCAGAUACUGUACCUCUCUGUUCAAGUUGCUACCAUUUUUAUUUUUUGCAUGAUGCCUCAUCUGAUUGGCUUGAAAACUUAACCAAUAAAAAUUUUAACCUUGUGCCAAUGGCUUGAAAACUUUAUCAAUGUAGAUUUUACCUUGUGCCAAAUGAAGUAACAAAAAGCCUCUUGUUCAAAAAUGCUUCAUUAAAAAAGAAUUGUUUCACAAGGUUCAUAAUAUAUACUUUUUAAAUUUCCUAAUGCAUUCACUCAUGAGAAUUAAUUGUUCAAUUCCAAUAUGAAGUUCAAUAUUUACAUUGAUAACGUUUUCAAGCCAAUCAGAUGAAGCAUCAUGAAAAAAUAAACAAAAAAUAAAAACGGAGGGGGGGGCGGGUGAACUGAAGAAAUCAUCCCAUUCCCUGCCUUGCUGCCUUUCUAAAAAUGCACCCAGCAUUUUCAACAAUCAUAUUUGUAUCAUCCCAUAUUGUAUUAUUUCAUAUUUUGUGAAACAAAUCAGGGGUGAAUAGUUUGUUUACAUACCUGAUAUGAAGUGCUCAUUGCAUAUCCUUGUGUAAAUCGUAGGUUUCCAUUGUUCACGACGAAUCGCCGCGAUCCAUUUAUCGCGUUUUUGGAUGUUUGCCGGAAAUCUAUAGAAGCUAAGAUUUGGUUUAUUGCCUCGUCUAUUGCUACAUCCAACAGCACAGCAGGUUUCCGGCAUUUUCAAGCUCAAAUAGCAGCAGAUGUAACGAGAAAGCGUGUGUGAGUCGUUGACCGGCACUGAAAUGUUGACCGGCAAGAUGGCCGCCAAGCUAAUGGGCGCGGCUGAUGACGUCAGCUGCAAAGCUGAAGCAAGCUACAGAAGCUCAUCCAGCUUGCGGUGCCUGCCUCCACCUGUCAGUGGAUCACCAGCUUCCUGACCAACAGGAGACAGCGUGUGAGGCUGGGGGUCAUCACAUCUGACACCCGGACCACCAAUACUGGAGCCCCUCAGGGCUCCUGAAGUAUGCAGACGACACCACUCUCAUCGGACUGAUCCAGGACGGUGAUGAGACUGCGUACAGAUAGGAGGUGGAGCGGCUGGUCCACUGGUGCAGCCAAAACCAUCUGGAGCUGAACCCGCUCAAGACCGUGGAGAUGACAGUGGAUUUCAGGCGAGACCCUUCACCACUUUUACCCCUCACUAUCCGCAGUAAUACUAUUCUCUCCACAGACACCUUCAAGUUCCUGGGAACCACAAUGUCUCGGGACCUGAAACGGACCGGCCACAUAGACUCUGUCCGGAAGAAGGCCCAGCAGAGGCUGUACUUCCUGAGACAGCUAAAGAAGUUCAACCUGCCGCGAGAGCUUCUGAAGACCUUCUACACUGCCAUCAUCCAGUCUGUCCUCUGCACCUCCAUCACUGUCUGGUUUUGAUCAGCCUCCAAACAAGACAAGCACAGACUACAACGGACAAUCAGAACUGCAGAAAAGAUCAUUGGAAUCAACCUCCCAUCUAUCCAAGACUUGUACCUGUCCAGGACCAGGAAACGUGCAAGGAACAUCUCUACAGACCCUUCUCACCCAGGUUGCAGUCUGUUUGAACUACUCCCCUCCGGACGGCGUUACAGAGCUCGGUACGCCAAAACCAGCAGACACAGAGACAGCUUCUUCCCCCAGGCUGUUGCUCUGAUGAACUCACACCACUCAUAGAGUCUCAGAGUCAUUACUGUGGAAUAACAUCCUGCUCUUCACACCUUUUUGAAUUUGUCUACAUUGUUUUUGCCAUUAUUCACACGUCCUGAGUGUUGUUAGUCACCUAAAUGUUGAACAGAGGGUGUGUUUUUACCGAAGUCAAAUUCCUUGUUUGGCACGCUCAAACAUGGCGAAUAAAAACUCUUGAAUCUUGAA